CUUCCAUGAGUCAUGUAAAAGAAAAAAUAAAUAAAUAAAUAAAUGGAAAUCAGAAAUCAGUUUUAUGCUUUCCACUAUUCAUCAUCUUCAUCAACACUAACUUUUCAAGCCUUAAUUUCAUGAACCUAAAGAAUUGAAACGACAAUUGCCUUUCUUCUCAAACCAUUCGAAACCCUUGCCUCUCAUUCUUGUCUUCUUGGUUUUCAAUUUUUGAAGGAAAAAACCCAAACCCCAUCUUCAUCAUCUGAUUUCGAAGCAACAAACCCUAAUCAAUCUGAUUUUCACCCUUGAUUUUCGAAGAUCCCUUAUUCAGCAUCUGAUUUUAGAAUUAGGGAUAAAGCAACAACAGUUGAUUCUUGUAAACACAGCAACAAGCAACAUCCAUUCAUUGGUGACCAGCCUUGAGUCUUCCCUGUUCUUGUGAGUUUCGAAGGAAGCAAACCACAGAACCUUCUUCCCAAGUCUGAUUUCUGAGCGACAUUACCUUGGGUUUCAAUUGCCGCCUUUUUAUUGAGGAGGCGACAUCAUCGACGAAUCUUUCUAGUGAUCGCGGAGAACCAGACUUAGCUCCUUGAAGCAUCUUUGAUUGGAAUCGGUCAGGAACGAUGGUUAACGGUGAUGAUUAGAGUUACAGAGAUGUUAUAUUGAGCUGAGCAAGUGAGAAGUGUUCUAUUGUAUUAGGAGUUUUCUAAUUAAUGUAUAUUAGACUUGGUUGUGCUGGUUAAAUUGGAUUUAUAGAGUGACUUGUAUGAUUACUUUAUGAUUUAGAUAGAUGUUUGGAUUCAGAAUUAGCUGAUUUAGCUAUGUUUUAGAAUUAAAGACUCAUUUGCACAAGUUUUGAAAUUGCGACUUGAGUUUCUUGAGAAGUAAACUUCGUGAUGACCUUGUUUACUCAGUCAACGGUAAGUUGGGUUGUUACAAUAUUAGAGAAUCAUUUUUUUUCUAGUAUUUAUAAAAUAUUAACAAUUUUAUUUAUUAGAUAAGUAUUAUUUAAUUAGUGUAUUGGAUAUUUUGAUAUGGUUAAAAGAUAAUACUCCCUCCGAUCUUUUAUGUUUUUCCACUAUGGGGUUUUCACACAAAUUAAGAAAAAUUGAAUCUUUGGUUGAAGUGAAUAUUAUUUUAAUUAGAUUGUAGUGUGAAGUAAUGAUUAUAUUGGAAGUAUAAGUGAUAAAAUAAAUUUAAGCAAAAGUAAAACUAUAAAAAAAAUUGAUUUUAUUAAUCUAAUAAUGAGGAGAGGAAACCGUACAAGAAGGAAAAGUAACCAACUUUCCGAACUUUCCAAAUUGGGAAAGCUUGGAGGGUUAUGCUCAAAAAAGGAGGGAAAUUAAUCCAUUCUAAAAAUCAAUACAGCCAUACAUGAACAUUCCAAACUCCUUACAUUGGUCAAUUUACAACUACAUGGAUUAAGAACUUAA